rnacentral:rRNA from 1 species
UGCCGCGUGAAUGAAUGUAAGGUUCUUAGGAUUGUAAAAUUCUUUCAGCGGGGACGAUAAUGACGGUACCCGCAAGAAGAAGCCCCGACUAACUUCGUGC